rnacentral:rRNA from 1 species
AGGCAGCAGUGGGGAAUAUUGCUACAAUGGGCGCAAGCCUGAUGCAGCCAUGCCGUCGUCGUAUGUAAGAAGGCCUUCGGGUUGUAAAGUACUUUCAGCAGUGAGGAAGGUGGGUAUGUUAAUAGCAUAUUCAUUUGACGUUAGCUGCAGAAGAAGCACCGGCUAACUCCGUGCCAGCAGCCGCGGUAAUACGGAGGGUGCGAGCGUUAAUCGGAAUUACUGGGCGUAAAGCGUCAUGCAGGUGGUUUGUUAAGUCAGAUGUGAAAGCCCGGGGCUCAACCUCGGAAUUCGCAUUUGAAACUGGCAAACUAGAGUACUGUAGAGGGGGUAGAAUUUCAGGUGUAGCGGUGAAAUGCGUAGAGAUCUGAAGGAAUACCCGGUGGCGAAGGCGGCCCCCUGGACAGAUACUGACACUCAGAUGCGAAAGCGUGGGGAGCAAACAGGAUUAGAUACCCUGGUAG